AAAAAAAAUGAAGGAAACCUAGCCCCCAUCUCUUUCCCCUUCCUUUCACGUGUAGUCUCAUUCUUAAGAAGCUUCUUCUUCCUCCAUAGCAAUCCCAUUCUUCUUCUUCUUCCUUCAUAGUAGCCCCAUUCUUCUUCAUCAUUGGCGACGACUUCACGACAGUAUUUCCCAGCGGACGGCAAAGCAAACGAACCCCAUGGCGGUAUGACCCUCGGGCUGUAGCGUUUUCAGCGGUGGUGCGACAGCAACAAACGCCCAGAUCUGGCGUUCUUCAACGGCCCAGCAGUGCGUGCGGCUCCUUUUUGGAUUCGUUUCGUGGCAGUGCAGUACUGUGGACUUGAGGGAAGUUAUUUCUUUUCUCGGUCGUGAAUCGUGAUUUUUUACUCAGUUUUCUGUUCAUUUUCUGUCCGAUUUUGCUUGUAAAUUACUGUUUGCUUUGAAAACAAAGUCCCUCGAAGGUUCGUGAAAAUGCCGAGUUUUAACUGAUUAUUUUGUUGCUUUGAUUUUACUUUUUAAGUUGUUUUCUGGUUCAGUGAGAGAGUUUAGAUCGUUGAACGGCGGCGAAAAGUUUUGGUCGGAAUCGGCGGUGGAUUUUUAUGUUUCGUUUUGUUAGUAAUAUCGUGCAUGAUCUUGUAGUCGAGAUUUAGGAGUAACUUUCAAUUUUUAUUUUUUUCUCCCUUGUUCGUGUUGUUCAUUGUAGAGCGAAAGAGAUUUUUUUGUAUAUUAUUGUUCAGUUUUCAAAAGUGAGAAAGAAAAAAACUGUUUGUUUAAUAAUUAUUAUUCAUUUUUAAUUCUUACUGAUUAAUCUUCUUCUUCAAAGCAGGAAUGAGCAUCUAAACCGUGCAAAAAGGGGAAAAAAAUUCAAAGAUUCGAAGUUCAAAGCAAUGGAAGAGAGAGAAGCCAUAAGUGCGUGCGGCUCCUUUAACGGCGGCAAGGAGCAUUCGGUGGUAGGGUUGUUGCUUAUUCGACAAAUCAAUGGUGAUCACUUUCUGAAGAUGAUGAUGAGGUUAUUGAAUAAAAAAAUUAAAGCUUUCUUCGAUGAUAAUGUAUGGAUUUUCAAUUUGAGUCUUUGAGAUAAGUGACUAUUUUGUCUUUCUAAUCAACAUUGUUGGCCUUUUUAUUAAAUGCACUUGUCGGCUCUUACUUGUCCGGUUUGAUUUGCAAUAGUUUAGGCUUUUGAAUUGAAGAAAAUGCAGACAGACAUACCUAUAGUUGCAAUGCCUUGGGCUUUAUCAUCAGCUUUUCCAACUAUGUGGCCAUGAUGAAAAAUAUCAUUAAUACAUUUUUUGGUA